rnacentral:rRNA from 1 species
GAUGAACGCUGGCGGCGUGCCUAACACAUGCAAGUCGAGCGAUUCUCUUCGGAGAAGAGCGGCGGACGGGUGAGUAACGCGUGGGUAACCUGCCCUGUACACACGGAUAACAUACCGAAAGGUAUGCUAAUACGGGAUAACAUAAGAAAUUCGCAUGUUUUUCUUAUCAAAGCUCCGGCGAUACAGGAUGGACCCGCGUCUGAUUAGCUAGUUGGGGAGGUAAUGGCUCACCAAGGCGACGAUCAGUAGCCGACCUGAGAGGGUGAUCGGCCACAUUGGAACGGAGACACGGGCCAAACUCGUACGGGAGGCAGCAGUGGGGAAUAUUGCACAAUGGGCGAAAGCCUGAUGCAGCAACGCCGCGUGAGCGAUGAAGGCCUUCGGGUCGUAAAGCUCUGUCCUCAAGGAAGAUAAUGACGGUACUUGAGGAGGAAGCCCCGGCUAACUACGUGCCAGCCGCCGCGGUAACAC